ACAACAGAAAAAGGUGCAAAAAGUGAUGUUUUUUGAGAAGAGGUGGAUGGAGAACAACUUCAUCGAGCCUCUUAAAGCAGUGCAGAGGAGACUCAAUCGUCCAGCUCAACGUCGUAUUGAGCCUCCCCCACGUCGUUACAGUCCUCCUGCUCGUCGCAGGGAGAGCAGUUCCUGCACUGUACUCUGAAGAAUGAACCAUUGAACUAUUAGCAAGAGUUGCUAUUAGUAAUACUACAUUACCUUUUAGUAUGUAGGAGUGCAAGCCUAAUUUAGUUAGUAUUGCGUGAUCACUGUAGUGGUUUCGUGUGUAGGCCUAGGGUUGUUGACAGGAACAAGUAGACUAUAUGUAGUUUACACUGUUGGCUUGAUGUCAUAUAGUGUCCCCAUUGUUAUUGUUAUGGAGCUCUGUAGAUUUACUUAGUAUUGCUAUUAUUCAUUUGAAAUAAAGUUUUAAUGGAUGUCAAAAUUGUAUAAUGCAACGUGCACAAUAACAAAGACAUGAAUACAUAAUUUUUGACAUUAAUAUUUGUAGAACUAAUGGAUCAAAUAUAAUACAAGCAAGUUUGCCUUAUGAUGCAUUCUAAUUUCAGUAAUAUACCUAAGUAGAUCUAAGUUUAUAGAAUUCCUUAUUGUACAUACAUUAUUCACUAUUACAACAUGUACGUUAUCGCAUGAUAGGCAAAACAGCUUUGUGAGUGUAGAAAUUGAAUGGCAUCAUCAGUUGAGAGUCAGGAGAAGACAGAAAUACAUGUCAAUGGGGAACAGUUAAAGUCUCUGUACCCAAUGGUCCCUUAGCAACCUUCAUAUAUACUACUUCAACACUGUCUCCAGCUGCUUUAAGUUAGCUAGUCAAAUAUUUAGCUGAUUUUUAAAGUCAUCUAAGAGAUUUUCAAAAUUAUUCUCAACUGACACGUGACAAAGAGGUCCAACUAAUACAUUACUGUGCUACCAAUGAUCCCGAGAGCAUAACUGGAAUUAUUAUUAUGGAAUUAUAGAAUUGUCAUGUACUGUGUAUAGAUCUACUAUUGCAUCAGUUUUUAUGACGUGCUGUUAUUCAUUGGUCAAGCCUUUCAGUAUGUUCAAUUGUAUUCAUAAUGUGUAAACACAUUUUUAUUACUUGUACCCUCAUGCUCUGUUUAUUCAGUAUAGCAUUUCCUGGAAUUGUCAUGAAUAAAUUGUAAUAUUGACAGACGGACCUUGGCCCUAGAGUAAACUGUAUUAGAGAGACUAAGACUUACUGCCUCCUUUCUGUUUGUUGCCCCAAAACUGAUUACUAAACUAAUUUUAUAAUUAUGGCUGCUGUAAUGGGAAGGACUCAGGUACAGA